UGGUGGGAAAAUGAUAAUGUUUUCACUGAAGCUCAAAAGAAUGAACUCAAAAAGCACUCUUUGUCUCGCGUGAUUUGUGACAACACAGGGAUUUCUGAUGUGCCAGUAGAUGCCUUUCAACUUGGAAAGUUUCCACAGGAUUUUAAACAUUGUAGUAAUAUAGAUGGAAUGAAUUUAGAAGCUUGGCAAGAAAUCUUUCAGGAAGAAGAAAUGUGUGGAACACCAAAGCAUGUAGAAAAUGGUAAUUUUGUAUAUUGUUCAGAAUUUGGGGAAUCUACACUGACUUAUUCUUGUCGACAUGGAUUUCAGUUACAAGGAGAAGAGCAAUUGAGCUGCACAAGUAAAGGCUGGAAAUUUCAGGCUCCUGUUUGCAUAGGUAUCUCUCUGGAUAUAUGUAUUUGUUUCGGAGUUUUCUAAAAGCUCAUCUAACACUGUUUAAGAGACAUGAACUCCUUUCAUUUCUUGUCUUGAAAUGUAUAGUUUAAAUGUCAUUUUUCCUUUGUGUUCCUCAUAAAUGAGUGCAGUUUGUAUGACAAAGAUAGUCAGUCUGCUAGGUUUAUAAGUAUAAUGACAUGAUAAUGCAAAACUGCCCAUCAUUCAGAAUUGCUAUCUUAAUCUCUACCUAUGCUGAUUCAUCGUUAGGUUUGAUGACAGGGAAAUGUCAAUUAACAACCAGCAGGAAAACAAACAAACAAAAAAGCAGGUCUGUAUUAUACAUCACUCUUUCCUGCAUUCAAUGUAAUAAUGAAUCAGACUAUUGUUUAAUUCAUUUUCCUAAAGUGGUUCAAUGGACACUCUAGAUACAAAGUGAACUCAGCUCUUGUAGUUGGUGUGUUAUCCAAAUAAGUUAAGCAAAAGUGACAAAGAAACACUGAAUACGAGACAAAUUAAGCAAUUUCAUUAUCAUUCUAUUCCAAAUUCCAUCCCUUAAAUAUCAGUGAAAAAUUUUGACAGAAAUGAAUUCUGCAGGCAGAAAAGUGGAACAGUAAGAAGUCAGUUAAAAGAUAUUUCAUGAACAUUUUAAAAAAGAAUAACUUUCUGAUAAUUUAUUUACUAUUUUCUCCUCUGUUUUUGCUCUAUUUUUGCUAUUGAAAGGAGGACUGAGAGAAAGAAUAUGGAAAAUAUUUUGUUGCAAGACAUUUCCUCUUCACUGCUAUGAGGGAUGAACUCUCUCAAUGUUCAUAUUUCUAAUGAGAAUGUUCUUAAUGAUAUGUGUGUGCAUUUCUAUACGCAUACUCAAGCUGUUGCGCCACAUAAGAACGUGGGAGAAAAUCGAACCUGAAAAGGCUGUAUUUAGGAAUAUAUUAUGGACUGUGUUAAAUUACUUUGAAUGUAAGGGCUGCAGCUGAUUUGUAAUAAAGUGUGCUUAUCAGUAUUUCUGUGAUAGCAGAAUAGAAAGCUAUUGAUUCUAAUUGCAUACCUGGUAUAUCAGAAGUCAAAUGAAAUUUGCAGCUCUUUCCUUUAUUCGUAUCCUAUUUAUUUCCUGAAUCUCACACGCAUUAAUACCAUAUAAAGAAAUAAAGCUGUUAAACGAAUUAUAAUAAAAUCUUUUCAUUAGAUUAAUAUUCUGGCUACAAACUGAAUAAAUAACUUAUAUGAAUG